rnacentral:rRNA from 1 species
GUGCAGCCGCCGCGGUAAUACCGGCAGCACGAGUGAUGGCCGAUAUUAUUGGGCCUAAAGCGUCCGUAGCUGGCCGGACAAGUCCGUUGGGAAAUUCACCCGAUUAACGGGUGGGCGUCCAGCGGAAACUGUCCGGCUUGGAGCCGGAAGACCUGAGGGGUACGUCCGGGGUAGGAGUGAAAUCCCGUAAUCCUGGACGGACCGCCGGUAGCGAAAGCGCCUCGGGAAGACGGACCCGACAGUGAGGGACGAAAGCUGGGAUCUCGAACCGGAUUAGAUACCCGUGUAGUCC